UACGUAGGGUGCAAGCGUUAAUCGGAAUUACUGGGCGUAAAGCGUGCGCAGGCGGUGAUGUAAGACAGAUGUGAAAUCCCGGGCUCAACCUGGGAACUGCAUUGUGACUGCAUCGCUGGAGUGCGGCAGAGGGGAUGGAAUUCCGCGUGUAGCAGUGAAUGCGUAGAUAUGCGGAGGAACACCGAUGGCGAAGGCAAUCCCUGGGCCUGCACUGACGCUCAUGCACGAAAGCGUGGGGAGCAAACAGG
rnacentral:rRNA from 1 species